GACGAACGCUGGCGGCGUGCUUAACACAUGCAAGUCGAACGGAAAGGCCCUGCUUUUGUGGUGUGCUCGAGUGGCGAACGGGUGAGUAACACGUGAGUAACCUGCCCUUGACUUUGGUAUAACUUCAGGAAACUGGGGCUAAUACCGGAUAGGAGCUCCUGCUGCAUUGUGGGGGUUGGAUAGUUUCGGCGGUUGGGGAUGGACUCGCGGCUUAUCAGCUUGUUGGUUGGGUAGUGGCUUACCAAGGCUUUGACGGGUAGCCGGCCUGAGAGGGUGACCGGCCACAUUGGGACUGAGAUACGGCCCAGACUCCUACGGGAGGCAGCAGUGGGGAAUAUUGCACAAUGGGCGGAAGCCUGAUGCAGCAACGCCGCGUGCGGGAUGACGGCCUUCGGGUUGUAAACCGCUUUCGCCUGUGACGAAGCGUGAGUGACGGUAAUGGGUAAAGAAGCACCGGCUAACUACGUG
rnacentral:rRNA from 1 species